CAUUAAGUGACUGAAAUUUAAGUAAUGGUCUCUUAAACCAAAAUAUAGUAUUUAUUAUACUCUUAAUGA
rnacentral:tRNA from 1 species